UGCCUGGCAGUUCCCUACUCUCGCAUGGGGAGACCCCACACUACCAUCGGCGCUACGGCGUUUCACUUCUGAGUUCGGCAUGGGGUCAGGUGGGACCACCGCGCUACGGCCGCCA
rnacentral:rRNA from 46 species